GCGGAGGGAGCCGGGCGGGGCAGCGGAACCGGGAGAGGCACCGGGAGAGGCACCGGGAGCGGAGGGCACUGAACGCACGUGGAGAAAGGGACGCGCUGCCCGGAGCCCCCUGGGGAGUUUGGGGUUGGGGGGGUGUGAGGAGAAGACACGGGGAAGUCCCGGUCCUGGACAUCCCCGUCCCGGUUAUCCCGGACUCGGGACACCCCUGGUCCCGGUCACCCUGGUCCUGGACAUCCCGGACCUGGACACCCCAAACCCGGGACACCCCCGGUCCCGGACAUCCCAGCCCCGGACACCCUGGUCCCGGUCACCCCGGACCCGGGACAUCCCCGGUCCUGGACAUCCCAGACCCGGGACACCCCGGUCCCGGACGCCCCCGUCCCGGUCACUCCGGUCCUGGACAUCCCGGACCCGGGACACCCCCAUCCUGGACACCCUGGUCCUGGACACCCCUGGUCCCAGUCACCCCCAUCCCGGCCACCCCAGUUCCAGACACCCCAGACCCAGGACACCCUGGUCCUGGACACCCUGGACCCGGACACCCCCAUCCCGGUCACCCCAGACCCGGGACACCCCGGUCCCCCCCUUCCCAGUCACCCCAGAUCUGGGACACCUCUGUUCCUGGACACCCCCAUCCCGGUCACCCCAGUCCCGGGACACCCUGAUCCUGGACAUCCCGGACCUGGGACACCCCAGUCCCGGAUGCCCCCAAGUCCCUCCCGGGAGCCCCAGCACAAGCACACGGCCACCCUGAGGGUUGAUGCUCAGCACCUUUUUAUUCCCAGCACAGAAAUCCCGGGGUGCAGCCACAGCUGCUCCCUCCCCGCCAGGCUGACCCCUGCGGCACCCAAGCGGGUGGGAGGUGAGCUCAGAACCGGGUGGGAGGUGAGCAGCGAGCACCCCGGCACGGGACGGAGCCCCCCGGGUGAGCCCCUGCCCCGUCAGUAGUCGCAGCUGCCCUGCAGGACCACGGUGUGAGCCACGUGGUGCAGGUUCAUGGUCACCGUGAUCUGGAUGAAGCUGCUCAGGCAGGCGCCGCCGCACUGGCACGUCUUGGCCACCUCCAGGUCUUCGCAGAGAAACACCCUUCCCAGAUCUAAAAUGUGCAACCACGUCCCUGAGUACCACGGAUUUGACCUCCAGAAAAUGCUCCAAGAAGAGCAGGGAAUUCACAGAGGUGACAGCAGCCUGCGUGGCAGUGCCAGGGAACUGGACAGAGAGAGAGAAUUAAGAAGAGGAUUUGGGAGCAAACGGCCGAGCGGCAGCGUUUGGGGUCCAGCGCGAGGAAUUUCCCCGCAGUGCUUUGUUACCUGCCAGCUGCGGAGAACACCGUGCCCAGCUGUCACUGGAGACCCGCAGAACAGGAGUGACUCACAGCCAGGCUACACCUACGCACCCCCAGUGCCUUCUCCCUGCCAUCACUCACAUAGCUGAGGCUCCUGUGGUUCUGUUUUUGUCACCGUCUCAAUUUCAGGACUUCCUUUGCUCUGAUCAGGGCGCACACAAUCCCAGCUCUGGUGCUUGCUGAGAAUGCCACCAUGAGGAUUGAUUUCCAAACAUUUGCUUUUGUGUCUUCUCUCCGUUUUCCUCCCUUCACAAGGUUUUUACAGCUUAUCAUCACUCCCAUUUCUUGCUCUGUGUUAAUGGCAGACAACGUCUGGGGCAUUUGUGUGUGUGUGGGCAAGGGGAGCCCCUUGUUUUACCAAGACUCCCUGAGCAGAAAGCAGAAAUUGCAAAACCCCGGCAGUUUAUGUAAGGAAGCGUGGAGUUUGCACCCUGUUAACAUCUCCAAGGUCAGGAGUGCCUGAGACUUGCACCUGAGCGCUUGGUUGCUCAGCUCAUUUCCAGGGCGUGCCCUGCAUGCCUGUGGACACCUUUAGCACUGACCUGUGAGCAAUUAACCCGGGACUGCGGGGCACUCCCCAUCCCCAAGGCAGGAAUUGGCAAGGAAUGCAGUUACGAGGCCUUCCCAGCUGUCUCUCACCCCCUUCCUGUACCCAUGACUCUCUUCCAUCUUCUUGCUCCUUUUUCCACCCAGAAAAACGAGGUGGGAGCAGCACCAGAUGGCACCGGAAAAAUCACAGGCAGAGGCACGUGGGCGAGUGGAGAGGAGCAAACCCCGUCACCAGCAGCAGCCUGACGAGGGUGACGUUGACCUGGUGUUAAAUGGUUUUAAAGCUACCCCUGAACUGGGCUUCUCUGCCUAAUGGGGCACAGCCGUCCUGCAGCACCUUGCUACCACCUCUCAGCUCGUGCUGGGUGCUGUUUGAAGCAGUCUGAUCCACCUCUGUAGCUCCACGGUGUGUGUGGAGGGCAGCUCUUGCCAGCACUGAUCUCACAAGGGCUCACGGACCUCCCACAGGGCUCCAGUGCACUUCGGUGUCAGCACAAGGUGAAGGGCAACUGUGUUUGAGAGCACUUUCCAAGCCAGAGCCCAACACAAAACAUGAUCUGUGCCACAAAACCCACUGUGCUGUAAGCUCCCAACUCUAAAGAGCUGGUAGUAGUCCAGGCUUACAGGGCUGAUUCUCUUUCCCCAUGGUUGGGCAAGAAUAUUCCUUUACGGUGCCCCCACUUUGUGGAUAAAAAACAUUUCAUCUACGGCUUUCCCCAAAUGCUUCCCAGUCACCACUUUGCUACAGGGACCUGUGUUACCCUGUAUAACAACGGGAUUAAACUGCAAGUGGGAUUCAAAGCAGCUCUAACUUCGUGAAGAGCAGCUGCCACUAACAGGAAAAAACAAAUCAGGGAAAUUUAGGCUUGACAGCUUUGAGACAGAGUAGGCGAACUGCGUGCCCACCAUGCUGCUCUUACCUGUAAUUUAUGGUAGCUCUCGCGGCACACUCUAAUAAAGUCAAUGGUAUU
rnacentral:lncRNA from 1 species